GGAGCGUGUGGGCACAUGGGACUUUGUGUGCACGUGUGCUGAUGGAAAGGAGGGAGCUGGACUGGGAAGGGAGACGGGGCACUUAAAAGGCUCCAACUUCAGUCCCCCAGGACAGAAACGGAGGGCUGGCAGGUCAGGUCUGCGCAGUUAUCGAUGAAGACCCUGGAGCAACAUACUCUUUUGUGCCUUUACCACCCUGCUUCAUCGAGGCUUUCUAAUCUCUGAGAAGGAUUCUGGAGCGCAGAGCUGCAAUUUGAUUUGGGGAAGGAAGGAGGGAGAGAGCGAUGCAGAAGCGAAACUAAAACUCCAACUUGGAAACUCCAGUGAGCUGAAUGUCAAGGAGCUGAAGACGGCUGAUGACUUUGCCCUUAGCAUAUCUCAUAAAAAUGGUGGGUCUUUCUGAGCAAAAUACAGCAUGCACUCAUUUUGACACUAAAUUAUUUUUGAUCUGCUUAUUGCUUUUGGCGCUUUCCUUGUGCAAAGGUUGGUGUGAGUGUGAAUUUUUGGUCAGAAUUCCCAUUUUACAUGCAACUACAUCCUGUAGUUUUCUCAGACUUCAUCUUUUCCAUAGACACAGUACAAACUGUCUCAGUAACAGUGACUAAUAGCUAAAAACUGCAUGGUGCUGGGUAAUUUCCAAAGGCUCUGUAGGACUUGCUUUAUAAUGUUUGUGGUUUUCAAGAAGUAAACAAUAAAAUGGAACAAACAACCGUUGUCUCUUGACCCUGUUUAUCUAGCUGAAGAUACCUCUGUCACUGUUUUGCUAGAACCUCCACCACGGCAUGACUACAACUAGUAGUUACCAAAACAAUAUUGCAGGUGACAGGUGAUGCUGUCAUCACAAUUACAAUACUUCAAAUUUCUCUAUAACCAGGUUUUGUUCAAACCAAGGAUGUAACAGACCUAAUAUGGUGCGGUACCUACCACAUAAUUAACACUGACAUUCAGCGCCUCACAAUCCUGCUCUCAAAUUCUACUUUCUGUUAUUUCAUUUUACUAUUACAAGGAAGUCAGGUUCUUUAUUUUCAGUUGGGUCUUUUUAUCGCAAUGUAGUGUCAACUGCACAUAUCCAUACAUCUUCAGAUACAUCCAACAAAACAGGAAUAAAACUACGUAUUGAACCAAAACCCUAAAA